CCUACGGGUGGCAGCAGUAGGGAAUCUUUCACAAUGGGCGAAAGCCUGAUGGAGCAACGCCGCGUGCAGGAUGAAGGCCUUCGGGUUGUAAACUGCUUUUAUAAGCGAGAAAUAUGAUGGUAACUUAUGAAUAAGGAUCGGCUAACUACGUGCCAGCAGCCGCGGUCAUACGUAGGAUCCGAGCAUUAUCCGGAGUGACUGGGUGUAAAGAGUUGCGUAGGUGGCAUAAUAAGUAGCUAGUGAAAUCUGGUGGCUCAACCAUUCAGACUAUUAGCUAAACUGUUAAGCUCGAGACCGUUAGUGGUAACUGGAAUUUGUAGUGUAGGGGUGAAAUCCGUAGAUAUUAGAAAGAACACCAAUAGCGUAGGCAGGUUGCUGGGACGGUUCUGACACUAAGGCACGAAAGCGUAGGGAGCAAACGGGAUUAGAUACCCUUGUAGUC
rnacentral:rRNA from 1 species